GUCUAUGGCCAUGCCACCCUGAACACACCCAACCCCAUCUGAUCUCGGAAGCUAAGCAAGGUUGGGCCUGGUUAGUACUUGGAUGGGAGACCAUCUAGGAAGACCAGGUGCUGUAGGCG
rnacentral:rRNA from 1 species